rnacentral:rRNA from 1 species
AUUGAACGCUGGCGGCAGGCUUAACACAUGCAAGUCGAGCGAGCGGCGGACGGGUGAGUAAUGUCUGGGAAACUGCCUGAUGGAGGGGGAUAACUACUGGAAACGGUAGCUAAUACCGCCUAACAUCAGAUGUGCCCAGAUGGGAUGAGCGAGUAGGUGGGGUAAGGGCUCACCUAGGCGACGAUCCCUAGCUGGUCUGAGAGGAUGACCCGCCACACGGGAACUGAGACACGGUCGAGACUCCUACGGGAGGCAGCAGUGGGGAAUAUUGAACAAUGGGCGAAAGCCUGAUGCAGCCAUGCCGCGUGUGUGAAGAAGGCCUGCGGGUUGUAAAGCACUUUCAGCGAGGAGGCGUUACUCGAAGAGGAAGCACCGGCUAACUCCGUGCCAGCAGCCGCGGUAAUAC